AUAAUGAUAAAAUUGGGUAAAAAUAUUAUUUGGAUUUAAUUGAAAUUGAUUUUGGGAAAAAUGGGUGAAAAUUUGAAUUCUGGGGGUAUUUUUGAAAAAAAAAUCGGAAACCGGGAGCCAAAGCACAAUUUAGAAAAGUUGUACUACGUCAGCAGCCACGUCAGUGGCCCGGUCAGCAACCCCAGCCAAACAGGACUCGCCGCGUGGCAAGGAAACGCUGACCAGGGGACGGGCCACGUGGGCGAUCCGCGUGCGCGCGAUUGGACGGCCUAGAU
rnacentral:lncRNA from 1 species